rnacentral:rRNA from 1 species
GAUGAACGCUAGCUACAGGCUUAACACAUGCAAGUCGAGGGGCAGCAUGUCGGUUGCUUGCAACCGACGAUGGCGACCGGCGCACGGGUGAGUAACGCGUAUCCAACCUACCCUUGUCCAUCGGAUAACCCGUCGAAAGGCGGCCUAACACGAUAUGCGGUUCACCGCAGGCAUCUAAGGUGAACGAAAUGUGAAGGAGAAGGAUGGGGAUGCGUCUGAUUAGCUUGUUGGCGGGGUAACGGCCCACCAAGGCUACGAUCAGUAGGGGUUCUGAGAGGAAGGUCCCCCACAUUGGAACUGAGACACGGUCCAAACUCCUACGGGAGGCAGCAGUGAGGAAUAUUGGUCAAUGGGCGAGAGCCUGAACCAGCCAAGUAGCGUGCAGGAUGACGGCCCUAUGGGUUGUAAACUGCUUUUAUGCGGGAUAAAGUGGGCCACGUGUGGCCCUUUGACAGGUACCGCAUGAAUAAGGACCGGCUAAUUCCGUGCCAGCAGCCG